rnacentral:rRNA from 1 species
CCUACGGGUGGCUGCAGUAACGAAUCUUCCGCAAUGCGCGAAAGCGUGACGGAGCAAUGCCGCGUGCAGGAUGAAGCUCCUCGGAGUGUAAACUGCUGUCAGGGUUUAGCAACACAAUGAGCAGACCCAAAGGAAGGGCCGGCUAACUUCGUGCCAGCAGCCGCGGUAAUACGAAGGGCCCGAGCGUUGCGCGGAAUCAUUGGGCUUAAAGCGUACGUAGGCGGACAUGCAGGCGUUUUGUGAAAUCCCUCGGCUCAACCGAGGAAUUGCUUGACGAACCGCAUGUCUUGAAGCAAGUAGGGGCUGUCGGAACGAUAGGUGGAGUGGUGAAAUGCGUUGAUAUCUAUCGGAACGCCGAAGGAGAAAUCAGGCAGCUGGGCUUGUCUUGACGCUGAGGUACGAAAGCGUGGGUAGCGAACGGGAUUAGAUACCCCAGUAGU